rnacentral:misc_RNA from 1 species
GGCCGACAGAAGAAAUUUUCACUGAUGAUCUAAAUCUCCAUAACUUUGUAAGCAGGUCCUUGCCAGAGAAAAUCACAAAAGUGAUGGACCCAGUAGUAUAUUCAGAAGCAAAUGAGAGUGGUAAAGCCGAGUGCUGCAUCUCAGUGUUGAGAAUUGGCAUAAAAUGUUCCAUGGAAUCAGCGAAAGAUCGAGCGGCAAUGGAAGAAGUCGUGAACGAGCUUUGUUCAAUCAGGCAAGUUUUUCUUGACCAACGGGUCUGACCAUGGAAAAGGACCAAAAGAUUAGAUAAGGCUUUGGAGCUGCGGGGGUGCUUUAUUAUUUUGUUUGC